rnacentral:rRNA from 1 species
AUGCAGUCGAGCGGUAACAGGUGUAGCAAUACAUGCUGACGAGCGGCGGACGGGUGAGUAACGCUUGGGAAUCUGCCUGUUAGUGGGGGACAACCCGGGGAAACUCGGGCUAAUACCGCAUACGCACUACGGUGGAAAGCCGGGGACCGCAAGGCCUGGCGCUAACAGAUGAGCCCAAGUCGGAUUAGCUAGUUGGUAGGGUAACGGCCUACCAAGGCGACGAUCCGUAACUGGUCUGAGAGGACGACCAGUCACACCGGAACUGAGACACGGUCCGGACUCCUACGGGAGGCAGCAGUGGGGAAUAUUGGACAAUGGGCGAAAGCCUGAUCCAGCGACGCCGCGUGGGUGAAGAAGGCCUGCGGGUUGUAAAGCCCUUUCGGUGGGGAAGAAAAGCCUCGAGUUAACACCUCGGGGUCUUGACGUAACCCAUAGAAGAAGCACCGGCUAACUCUGUGCCAGCAGCCGCGGUAAUACAGAGGGU